AGAUUUCGCUAGAGCAGACACAAGAGCGACCCCAGUGAGGACACAAUCAGUUAAAUUAUUAUUAUUAUUCCACCUGUGGGUAGCAAGUCCGACCUCCCCCCAGUGCUGGAGAGCCUCAAGGGCAUGCCAGUUCACCCUGCUUGUCUAGAUAGCAUGCGCCUGCCUCUUCUACAUGCAAGCUUGUCCCUGUUUGGAAGACUGCAGCCAUUUCUGCUCUUGCUCAGAAGAGUGCAAUGUGCUAUGCUGCCUCAGGAACUUCUGGAAUAGUCAGCCUGUGGCUAUGGAUCCACAUACUUGAGGAUAAAUCAUGAGAAGAUUACAAGCACAUCUUGGCUGUGCACACCUGUGAUGGACAGACUCUCAAUUUCACCUGUGCUCAGGGUGAAGUAAGAAUUAAACACUAUGGACUAGACCCAAGGAUUCACCAGAACUUCAAGUGAGUGCAGAGCCAUAAAGGUCACACGUGUCUGCCUCCUCUCUGCAGGCAAACCUGCAGGCCCUAGGUCUACUGAAGGAACCAGUCCAGAGACACCCAUGCUCAUAAGAGAAAAGUUGAGUGGUCUCAGACUUGGUGUUGGUACUAUAAAAUGUGAACAAAUUAAAAAAAAAAAAA